GACGAACGCUGGCGGCGUGCCUAAUACAUGCAAGUCGAGCGCAGGAAAUCGACGGAGCCCUUCGGGGGGAAGUCGACGGAAUGAGCGGCGGACGGGUGAGUAACACGUAAAGAACCUGCCCUCAGGUCUGGGAUAACCACGAGAAAUCGGGGCUAAUGCCGGAUGGGUCAUCGGACCGCAUGGUCCGAGGAUGAAAGGCGCUUCGGCGGCGCCUGGGGAUGGCUUUGCGGUGCAUUAGCUAGUUGGUGGGGUAAUGGCCCACCAAGGCGACGAUGCAUAGCCGACCUGAGAGGGUGAUCGGCCACACUGGGACUGAGACACGGCCCAGACUCCUACGGGAGGCAGCAGUAGGGAAUCUUCCACAAUGGACGAAAGUCUGAUGGAGCAACGCCGCGUGAACGAUGAAGGCCUUCGGGUCGUAAAGUUCUGUUGUAAGGGAAGAACAAGUGCCGCAGGCAAUGGCGGCACCUUGACGGUACCUUGCGAGAAAGCCACGGCUAACUACGUGCCAGCCGCCGCGGUAA
rnacentral:rRNA from 1 species